GUGCCAGCAGCCGCGGUAAUACGUAGGGUGCGAGCGUUGUCCGGAAUUAUUGGGCGUAAAGGGCUCGUAGGCGGUUUGUCGCGUCGGGAGUGAAAACAUCGGGCUUAACUCGAUGCUUGCUUUCGAUACGGGCAGACUUGAGGUAUGCAGGGGAGAAUGGAAUUCCUGGUGUAGCGGUGAAAUGCGCAGAUAUCAGGAGGAACACCGGUGGCGAAGGCGGUUCUCUGGGCAUUACCUGACGCUGAGGAGCGAAAGUGUGGGGAGCGAACAGGAUUAGAAACCCUUGUAGUCC
rnacentral:rRNA from 1 species